rnacentral:tRNA from 1 species
GCCCUGGUUGCUCAAUGGUUAAAGCGUUUGGCUGCUAACCGAAAGAUUAGUGGUUCAAACCCACCAGAGGUU